rnacentral:rRNA from 1 species
CAAUAGCGUAUAUUUAAGUUGUUGCAGUUAAAAAGCUCGUAGUCGGAUUUUGGCUGAGAACGAACGGUCCGCCGUUAGGUGUGCACUGUUUGGUCUCAGCUUCCUGGUGAGGAGGUGUGCUUCACGGCCACUUAGUCACCGUGGUUACUUUGAAAAAAUUAGAGUGUUCAAAGCGGGCUUACGCUUGAAUAUAUUAGCAUGGAAUAACACCAUAGGACUCCUGUCCUAUUUCGUUGGUCUCGGGACGGGAGUAAUGAUUAAGAGGAACAGUUGGGGGCAUUCGUAUUUCAUUGUCAGAGGUGAAAUUCUCGGAUUUAUGAAAGACGAACUUCUGCGAAAGCAUUUGCCAAGGAUGUUUUCAUUGA